GCGUCUGUAGCUCAGCUGGAUAGAGCAACGGCCUUCUAAGCCGUAGGUCCAGGGUUCGAAUCCCUGCAGACGUGCCA
rnacentral:tRNA from 1 species